rnacentral:piRNA from 2 species
UUGAACAAGAGAACAGAUGGCUCCCCACAU